GGGCUGUAGGUGAGGAGUAGAGCAUCUGCUGUGCAUGCAGAAGGUCCCAGGUUCAAAUCCCGGCAUCUCCA